UACGUAGGGUGCAAGCGUUAAUCGGAAUUACUGGGCGUAAAGCGUGCGCAGGCGGUUAUGCAAGACAGAUGUGAAAUCCCCGGGCUCAACCUGGGAACUGCAUUUGUGACUGCAUAGCUAGAGUACGGUAGAGGGGGAUGGAAUUCCGCGUGUAGCAGUGAAAUGCGUAGAUAUGCGGAGGAACACCGAUGGCGAAGGCAGCCCCCUGGGCUAACACUGACGCUCAGGCACGAAAGCGUGGGGAGCAAACAGG
rnacentral:rRNA from 1 species